AUUGCGACGGCCCCAGAUGAGCUGCUAUGAAAAUCUAAUGCGGGAGCUGGCGGUCGAAGAUCACGACGGAUACAGAAGAUACCUGCGCAUGGACGUGGCGACGUUCGAGUAUCUACUAAACAUGGUUCGCCCAUAUAUCGAGAAGCAAGACACGAACUUCCGAGCGGCAAUAUCUCCAGGAGAACGUCUCGCUGUCACGUUGAGGCAUCUUGCAACAGGCUAUCAAGGGCCAGAAGGGUCGUCGAAAAUGCUUUCGGUGUCCUGGCAAGCCGGUGGCAGCUUUUCAGGAGUCCGAUACGGUCCAGUGCUGAAAAUGCCAAGGAUCUGGUGAAAGCCUGUGUGGUCUUGCACAAUAUGCUUCGACAUGCCAGGCCCACAAAGAGGCUGUACACACCUCCUGGAUAUCUCGACACCGAAGAUAUCCUCACAGGUGAAGUGAACCUCGGUGCCUGGAGGCAGUGCCAUCGUGGCUUGCCCGAAGCACAGGGACAAGGUGCUCAGGGCCAGAACCAUACAGCUAGGGCCAAGCAGGUGCGGGAAGACUUCUGCGCCUAUUUUAACGGUCCGGGGAGUGUGAGCUGGCAGCGCCGAUCAAUCGGACUGGAGUGAAGCAGGUACACAACGUAUGCAGUCUCCCAGCUGCCUCAGGAAGUUGUCAACCUCAUCCGUUUGAGUAGCAGGACGGGACAAUCUGUUCACAGCAGCCUCUGGAAGUGCCGAGCGCUGCUCCAGGAGGGAUGAAGGAUCGUCUGGGCCAGACCGUGAUUCAGAGACCGUGAUACCGGCUCGCCAUUUUACAUGUGCUCCACCACGCUUCCUUCCCCGAUAUACCUUCUUCAAUGUUGUUAACCCUUGUUUUGCGAAAUGACAUCCAUUACAACUUUGCAAUAUAGUUCUAUUUUGGAAAAAUUACAGAUAA